AGCCAGACUCCUACGGGAGGCAGCAGUGGGGAAUAUUGCACAAUGGGGGAAACCCUGAUGCAGCGACGCCGCGUGAGUGAAGAAGUAUUUCGGUAUGUAAAGCUCUAUCAGCAGGGAAGAAGUUGACGGUACCUGAGUAAGAAGCCCCGGCUAACUACGUGCCAGCAGCCGCGGUAAUACGUAGGGGGCAAGCGUUAUCCGGAUUUACUGGGUGUAAAGGGAGCGUAGACGGCAGUGCAAGUCUGAAGUGAAAGCCCCGGGGUUAACCCGGGAAUUGCUUUGGAAACUGUACGGCUGGAGUGGUGGAGAGGGAAGCGGAAGUCCUAGUGUAGCGGUGAAAUGCGUAGAUAUUAGGAGGAACACCAGUGGCGAAGGCGGCUUACUGGGCAGUAACUGACGUUGAGGCUCGAAAGCAUGGGGAGCAAACAGGAUUAGAUACCCCAGUAGGC
rnacentral:rRNA from 1 species